rnacentral:rRNA from 1 species
UACAGAGGGUGCAAGCGUUAAUCGGAAUUACUGGGCGUAAAGCGCGCGUAGGUGGAUACUUAAGUCGGAUGUGAAAGCCCUGGGCUUAACCUGGGAACUGCACUCGAUACUAGGUAUCUAGAGUAUAGUAGAGGGAAGUGGAAUUUCCGGUGUAGCGGUGAAAUGCGUAGAUAUCGGAAGGAACACCAGUGGCGAAGGCGGCUUCCUGGACUAAUACUGACACUGAGGCGCGAAAGCGUGGGGAGCAAACAGG